AUAUAUGUAUAUGUGUACCUAUGUGAAGUGAUAUUGAGAUGGUGAUAGCAAUGUGUAACUAGUAACUAAGUGUAAAUGCGUGCAAACAAAACCAUAAUAAAAACCGAUAAUGUUCUCUUCGAACAAUGGAUCCCUCAUGAAAGACAUCCUUUGUUUUAUGACCGCAUUGCACGUGUGUUCACACACUCACACACAUACGCACACGCUUAGAUAACUUCAAUCGCAGCAGGUAUGCAAACCGUUCUGCACACCAACACACGACCUCAUACGAAUUCGGCAGUGCUAGCGACCGCUGCGCUUUCAUUCUCGCCUUUGUUGCACUAAUAACCAUUUAAAAUGGUGCAAAUGCAAUAUAAUUCACACCAGAAACCAAAACAAUGGAUAUUUAGAGCAAUCAGACUAGCCGGGCAGCCACACGACCAAACCAAGUUGGACGAGACCGACGGAAAAUGCUAACAAAGAGCUACUAGUUUAACAAAUGCUCGUUUAAAUUGAAAAUCGCAAUUGUGACUGCCUUAUUUAUGUGCCAUGUAUGCAUUAGUUCGCACUUUGUGGACGCGGUUAAGUCGGGACAUCGGCACUACUACUAACCAGCGGUCCAGUAAUCAACACAAGCAAGUCACCAGGCAUAAGUGUGUCCAUAUUACAAAACUGUUUGCAGGAACAUAGUACGCGUAUCUGAAAACAUAAAUAGUUUGGUAGAUAGCAGCAGCUAAUUUUUCUUUUUCAUAUGCCGCUUAUUUGCAUUUCGCAUGGCAUGCUCAAUUUGGCCAGGUUCCUUAGACGGCCGUCAAGGUGCGCAGCAUUGCGUCAUAAGGAUAGGGAUGUGUGUAUGUAUGUGUACUCAAUACAAAUAUAUAUAUGUUGGAAAACAGCGGCGACUUGUGUACCGAAUACCUAGUUCAAAAGAAAUCUUUAGAAAAAAUGCGCGCUAGUUGGCAAUGGGAGUGGCGCGUCGGUUUGCGCAUACAUACAUAUAUUUUCGUAUAAGCAUACGCAUGUAGCUAGUUGGCGUCUACCGAAAAGCGAUUGCGAUCAUUUUUACGGAAUUUUCAUAUAUGUUGUUUUUACAUAUUUUGUUGUUUUCAGAAAUAGACGCAUAACGCUUGUCGGCCGAAAAACAACAAAGCUGGCAAAACCGCCUGAAAAUACUUACAUACAGCACAGCGUUAAGCUGAAAAAGCUGAAAAAUACCCAAAAGUACUAACUGUCGAACAAAUGAGACGUCAACUCGAUACUACAUAAAUGCGCACUCGUUCAUUAGCUUCUCGUUAAGCACAUCAUGUGGCAGCAUAUAACCCGAAUUGAUGUACGAGCCAAGGUGUACCAGACUAAAUACCCACAAGCACAUGAAAUUAGUAAGUACUAGUAAGUACUGCGUCCAAGUGCUCCGCAACAAGACGCCAAGCGCCCUGGAAAAAUCCAAGCAAUCCACAACAAGUCUACGCCAAGUCACCUCAAGCCCCAUAAAGGUAGAUAGUGUCAGCAUGUUUUGAUAUAUCACAGCGGACAUAAAGAUAUAAAAGUACGAUAUCAAUGCAUACACAUUCAUACACACACACACAAACAUACGCAUUUGUAAGCAUUUAUGGGCACCACAUUAGCGGAUUCACAUUGAUACCACACAGAUACGGUGCAAAUGCGACAAAAAUACCGUACGUAAUAAGCAACAACACAUGACUUUUUAAUACCACUCAGACCUCGAACACCAGUCCCGGCAAUCGUAAUUAUUAUCUCUUAUAAAAAUAUAAAUUUUCUUAUCAUUGUACAAACAAACGUAAAAUGUCUUUUGCUCAUUUAAUUAAAAGUAUCAGAAAUAUAAUGAAAAACCAAGUACAAAAACACAACCGACUGUCGGCCAAUAAUGAAGAGCACUAUACUUGUACAGUUGAAUCCUUACAGAGAAUAUUAUUUAUUCUAAUUUAAUGCUUAAUGGCAAUUUGUGAAUAUACUAAAAUAAUACCACGGUAAUUAAAACUUAGCUCUAAGAUUAUGAACAGCUUUAGCUAUAACAUAGCGGCACAAAAGUUUGAUUUUUUACUAAAUUUACUGUGCUUUGUAUAUGUAGUUAAUAUAACAAUUAAAAAAUAAAAAUAUAAAAU